CAGCUGGUCAACAACACAGAUGGCUGCUGCACAACACAGUCCUGCGAAUGCAAUGUAAACCUGUGUCCACAACCAAUCACCUGCCCAGUGGGCUUCCAACGCAACGUUACCAGCGGCACCUGCUGCCAGUCCUACGAGUGUGUUCCUAAAGGUGUAUGUGUCUAUGACAUGAAUGAGUACAAGCCUGGUGACAAAAUACCAACAGAAACAACACCAGAACCACCAUUAGAA